UCUCACGCUGUGACCCUCUAAAGGGAAACGCUUUCUGUUGUCUAAAAGAAACGAAUGCGUCUUCCUUUAGAGUGUUACCGUCUGAGA
rfam:Callithrix jacchus chromosome 22, whole genome shotgun sequence